UUUGUACUUUUGUAUUGCCCCUGGGAGUAGUAAUACUGGGUAUAGUAUACUUUUAUAGGGUGAAGAAUGAGCAAAAUGUUCACUUUCACUUUCAUACCUCCCCUCUGACAGCUGUUCUUCAGCUGGCUAGCCGCGCUGAAGCGCGAGAAUCCUCCGGUUAGCUGCAAUGCUAGGGGUUAGGAGCGAGCACUUUCUAGACGAGGACUAUAUGGAGGAGAGGGUUUUUGAGUCAGGAGCAUUAGUGCCGGACAAAUAAGCUGAAGUCAGAGGCUUUUUUCCUCCGUUUUAAUUUUUCCUCUGAAAACUGGGAUGUACAGACUGCCCGACUGGAGGUACUGUAACAGCAGCAGAACGACGCGCUCACCCAGCAGAGCACCGUGAGAAAUAAAUAUACAUCCAGCAGCUUCCUGUGCACAGCAUCCUGUGACGACUAAUGAAGGACUAGAGAAUGACCAACAAACCAACCAAAAUGUGCGCAAGAUGUGCGCAAAAAAGAGCUUCUGUCUCUCACUUCAAGUCUACAAGGUGCAGUAGGUCACAGCUACAAAACCUGACAGAAAGCAGCAAGCACUGGUGGACUGAUCAUCUACUGAGCUACAUGUCAUCUGCAUCUCCUCUCCAGGGGUCAUGGCCCCCACGCUAAGCGAAGCCGGGGAGGUGGGGCUUGUAGGAGUUGGCGUCGCAUUUUUACCCUGGAUGAGCUGCACCUGUCGAGGACGGGAGAGACGGAAAGACUGAGAGAGAAAAAAGUGGAGCAAAGAAAGGGUGUGGAGAGGGGAAAAACGUUUGAAAAGAAAACAACAGAAGUUAAAACAUGCGAGGGAAAUAAAAAAAAAAAUGCUGGAAACUACAGCAAGAAAAAGAA